UACGUAGGGUGCAAGCGUUAUCCGGAAUUAUUGGGCGUAAAGAGAUGCGUAGGCGGUCGGUAAAGUUUUUUGGUGAAAUCCUCCGGCUUAACUGGAGAACUGCCAAGAAUACUCAUCGACUUUGAGGAAAUCAGGGGGGUACUGGAACUCGUGGUGUAGUAGUAAAAUGCGUUGAUAUCACGAGGAACACCAAAAGGCGA
rnacentral:rRNA from 1 species